AGAUCUUGUCUCUCCCAAAGAAUAUAAUAAUAAUAAUUAGCCAGGUGUGGUGGUACAUGCCUAUAGUCCCAGCUAUUCAGGAGGAUGAGGUGGGAGGACUGCUUGUGCCUGGGAGGUCAAGUCUACAGUGAGCCAUGAUCACACCACUACACUCCAACCUGGGUGACAGAGGGAGACCCUGUCUCAAAAUAAAAAAAAAAAAAAAUUGGUCAAGGAGAGUUAAAGUUAUAACUUAUAGUCAGUUAUAUUCUGCGAUGACCAUUAAAU
rnacentral:lncRNA from 10 species